CACGUCUUUACCCCAACAUGGACAUGUGCUGGGUUCCUCCUCAAAAGCGGGUAAAGCCCCCAGGCGCGGUGGCUCACGCCUGUAAUCCCAGCACUGUGGGAGGCUGAGGUGGGUAGAUCACCUGAGCUCAAGAGUUUGAGACCAGCCUGACCAACACGGUGAAACCCCGUCUCUACUAAAAAUACAAAAUUAGCCGAGCGUGGUGCCGGGCACCUAUGGUCCCUGCUACUCAGGAGGCCGAGGCAGGAGAAUCACUUGAAUCCGGGAGCAGAGGUUGCAGUGAGCCGAGAUCAUGCCACUGCACUCCAGCCUGGGAGACAGAGCGAAACUCCAUCUCAAAAAAAAAAAAAAAAAAGUGGGCCGGGCACAGUGGCUCACACGUGUAAUCCCAGCACUUUGGGAGGCCGAGGCCAGCGGAUCACAAGGUCAGGAGUUCGAGACCAACCUGGCCACCAUGGUGAAACCCCGUCUCUACUAAAAAUACAAAAAUUAGCUGGCCGUGGUGGUGCGCGCCUGUAAUCCCAGCUACUUGGGAGGCUGAGGCAGGAGAAUUGUUUGAAGCCGGGAGGUGGAGAUUGCAGUAAGCCGAGAUCGCGCCACUGCACUCCAGCCUGGGCGACAGAGCGAGGCUCUAUCUCAAAAAAGAAAAAAGAGUGGUGACAGCCGACCAAAAGUGGCUCAAGAGACAUCCUUCUGCCUUAGGGUCCCGCUGGCCCCAGGAAAGCUCCUUUCGUGCCUCCUGAGGACUCUGGGACGGAGAGGUCUGGAGGCCACAGCCAGCUCGCCCCCGCCCCCGCCUACGUCCUGCUUUCUGGCCGCUGCCUCUGGUCUGCUGCAGUCAAAGGAGCAGGGCCAGCCCUGAGCUCCCACCCAGCGCCAGUGGGGGACAACGUGGUGUCAGAGGCUCCUCUAGAGGGAAGGCGAAGAAGCCGCUUGGGAUCCUUGGGGUGGGGUGGCUGGGCCUGCAGGGGUCGACAGCUUGGGUCCCUCGGGCCACCCUGGGGAGCUGAUGGCUGGUGGAGGGUAGGGCCCCACUUUGUGCUUCCUGCUGUGAUGGGCGAAGGUGGAUGGGGAUCCCUGGAGCAGCCGGUGCUCCGCCCCAUGUGGGCUCCUGCGGGAUUCGGGGGACAGGGACUCUGAGCCUUCCCAUGUGGGGGGCCUGGAUGUCUCUAUCCCCUGGCAGUCACGAAAACUCAAGCCACAUCCCCCACCAGUGCAGGGACCCAGUGGCUUCACAACCCACCCACCUGGGAUAAAGGACAAAUGGCCCAGGUGGGGUGAAGCCAGGGGAGGGACGGGCAGAACCACGUCAGGUUCAGGACACUGCGAAGCUCCUAUACCCCUGGGGCCAGGGCCAGGCUGCACAGGGUUCAGAGAUGGAUCCCCGGUAAGAGGUUCAGACACAGGUUCCCAGAACAGGCCCCAAGCUUCCAACAGCAGUGGGGUAAGGACCUCCUGGAGUGGAAGUUGGGGGGUCUCAGGAGCAGAGGCUGAACCCCGGGUUACUUAUAGACCCCCUAAAGUGGAAGUUGGGGGGUCUCAGGAGCAGGGGCUGAACCCCAGGUUACUUACAGACCCCCUGGAGUGGAAGUUGGGGGGUCUCAGGAGCAGAGGUGGAACCCUGGGUUACGUACCGACCUCCUGGAGUGGAAGUUGGGGGGGGUCUCAGGAGCAGAGGCUGAACCCCGGGUUACGUACCAACCCCCUGGAGUGGAAGUUGGGGGGGGGUCUCAGGAGCAGAGGUGGAACCCCGGGUUACGUACCGACCCCCUGGAGUGGAAGUUACUUACAGGGGCUGUGUGACUACUCCGGCCUCCUGGGACCCCCAUGGCAAUGCUCCAGGCAGCCACCGCCCUCUCGAGGUCGUCCCUUCCUGUGACUGGCACCUGGGAGCUGAGCUGGCUGCAGCAGGGCCACCGGCCGGGACACCCCACAGAGCAGUCACUGGCUGGCCCUGGAGCUCCCCAUCUGACUAGAUUGAUGGACUGAUGGAUAGGAGGCCCCGCCAGGCCCAAGCCCACAGGCCAGAUGGGCACCUCUCCGUGCAGCCCCCCCCAGUCAGCCUUGUGGGUAGGUGUAGGGAGGCGUGGUGGCGAGGCAGGGCACGGGAUGGGAGAAGGGUACCUGGGGCCUGGCACUCAAAGAUGAGUGACGAGGUGGGAGGUGGGGACAGCCAGAGGCCCUCACAGCCCUGAUGGGGCUGGAAGACGCCAAGGCCCAGAGAUGGGGUCCGGGGCUCCAGGUCAGAUCAAGGAAAAACCCAGCCCAGGCGGGCAUGCCCGGCUCCCUUCCGCGGCGCCACAGCGGCUUCGAGCCAGGCAGAGCAAAAUCCCCGAGGAAAGGCGUCCCUCCCCAGCUCUCACCUCCCCAGACCCGGCAGGGUUGCCGGGACGACGGCUCAGGCCUUCCGGAGGUUGCCACAGAGCCAGGAGCCCAGGGCUGCCCCAGCCCACGCCCGGCUGCUCGUCCCCCGUGCUCCUGCCCUCUCGGGAGCAGCGUCCCUGUGUCCACGGGAGGGAUCGCACCGCGGGGCCCCUGCCCCACCGCUAGUGGGGUCCAUCUUCCUCUGGAGACCCCGGUGUGUGUAAGCAGAGCUGAGGACUGAUCUUUAAGCUGCCUCCUGGCCCUGCUCGUGAGUCUCAGGAAACUGUGACACUCACCUGGCCCGGGGGUCCUGGCCCAGGGGUCCCCGCUCCAGGAGCCACCCAGCAAAGGGAAAAGGAGAGGGCACUCCUGAGGGUACAUGGCCCACUCACAGGGGGUACAGCCUUGUGUGGCAGGAGGGACGGAGCCCGGCUGUCCCAUCGCAGUGACUCCAACCUCUAAUAAGCCUCAAGACACUCGGGGCUCGGGCGGCGAGAUCCUGGCAACAGAGUAGGGUAGACGUUGGGGCCUCAGGGCCCCCAGCUGGCUCCUGAGGCACAGGCGGCGCGGCCCUCACUCUGGCCACAGCAGCCAAAUGCUCCCGUCCUUAUUCACAGGCUGGGGGUGUGCGGCAGGGAGAGGAGGGUCCUGACCGAUCUCACCGGGACCCAGGUCCUGGCCCUCCCGCCCGUGGGUUGCCACACCCCACGGCCCGAGGUUGACAUGGCCACACAGCUUUGGUAAAGACUUUUAAGAGAAAGAAGUAUUUUAAAAAGUAGCAGUGCUCUGAGGCUCAGGGUGUAGGAUCGGGGGCACAGCCUGGUCCCGG
rnacentral:lncRNA from 1 species